AAAGAAGGAAGAGAGGGAGAGAUAGGUUUACCACCUCGCCAUGGUCGCUAUUUCGGCCUUGGGGAGUGUCUUCGGGAAGGAAAUAAAGUUUCGAGCUGGAUAAAAGUUGCCGGCUGGUCCUUUCUUCCCACAACAGCUGGAGCUCCGCUAUGCAAAUCGGAUCCUUUGGCGUACAUCUUACAAAGAAAAAGUCGCCAAGGGACAAGAUUCUUGGUUUUCCUUCAAGGUGGAAUUGAAAAGCCUUAUAGAAAAUAUAAGGUCCGUGUAAGCCACACGGUGAGCCGACCCACUGCAGGAGGGGGAGAGAGAGGGAGAGGAGAAAAAAAAAAAAAAGCCCACGUAAAUAAUGUAGCCAUCAAGCACAAAUAUCUAUUCCUAGGCACAUUCACACACAAGACUCUCAAUACAGACCGACCCACAGAUAGAACGUUGGGUGAAAAAUAUUACAAAACCCACUAAUUUUCUACCUCCCCUAAAAAAAAAAAAAAAAA
rnacentral:lncRNA from 1 species